UGCAUCAUCAUAUUGUUUGUGAAUGAAGUUACCUGCUAUAUUGCUUUUACCUUAGUUUGCUUUUCUUUUAUGGGGACCUAUGAUACCACCAAACCCACAAGAUUUGACAGUGAUGUAUGGCUAUCUAGACCAUCCCAAUUGUAGGUCCCAAUUGUGGUCGGAGCAUAUAAUCACAUGAAUCAAACAAUAUUCCUAGCUGUUCCCGAACAGAUCUGAUAUCAAAGCUGUUAAACAUAGUCUAAUAAGCAAUCAUGAAUGCAUUACUUUAAAAAAAAAUAAAAAAUCAAUAGGUGAAACAGUUUCACUAUCUUAGACAUUUUAUGGCUCAACAAAAUCACACAAAUCCUUAAUUUGUUAAAAGAAGUGCAUUUACUUACAAAAUCAGAGAGUAGAAUUGUUUUAACAAUCUGAUUUUAGAAUUCUUAGUAACUUAAUUGGGCUACUCUAAUUUCAAUUAAGGUUGCCCAGGUAUGUAUUUACUGAUUGUUGGUUUUUCUUUUUUGUUGCUUAUUAUUUUGGAUAAUUCAUUAUUCGGAUAGGUUGAGUUUUUAUUUAACGUGUUCUUGUAAGUGAUUUAACCCAUGAAAUGAAGUAGGUUGAUGGGAAUGCAUUAUGCCACAUGAACGGAUGCAGCGCAGCAAUUCAGAAACUGUGACUUUUGAGCUAUAGGCAUGCUUCAUGGUGGGACACUAGAUGAAUGGAUGGAAGAUCCUGCUAAAAUCAAUCAUGCAGUGGGCCCCAUGGUGGAUGAUUCUGUCCGGUAAGAUAGAUUAAAUGUGGAAUGUUGAUUAUAAAGUUUUCUAUUUUCAAGCCAGUGACAAAAGGAAGGUAAUAUAGUCUUGGCACGUCAGUUGUGGACAGAGAAUCUAAUCACAUGAAUCAAACAAUCCUAACUAUCUAAUUACGGCUACCUAGCAACCGGCUAGAAGUAAGAUAUAGUAAGUGGUCCAACUUCAAAAGUGAAAAUCGAAUGUUAUUUUCUCAUUGCAUUUUCUUUUUCCGUUAUGCUUCAUCCACAGUUGGGUUAGCAAUUUUUUUAACUGAAUUGUAGACAUAAAUGUGUUGCCUUCAGUUUCAUAUGUUUGUCUCAUAAACUGGAAAAAUUAGAAGAGAGAUUCUUCUACGUUUAAUGAACUUGAGGAAAUGCACCAGCCAGUAGACAGACCAGGAAAUGGAGGAUUGAUGUCUAGUAGGCAGUUGGUUAUGAGUAUUAUGAUAUGACUAUUGUUUUGUUAUAUAUGAGAUGGAAUUAGCUGGCUCGUGGUUGUUAUAUAUGAGGAGGAUAAGCAUUUGCUUGGCCUAAUAAACUGUACAUGUGGGGCCCAUUUUUUUCAGAUUUGGAGCAGUUUGGAACACAACAAAGGUAGAACCAGGAUCUAUUGUUGCUGUUUUCGGCCUUGGGACUGUUGGCCUUGCAGUAAGUUGCCUGAAGAUUUCUUUUGUAUUUUGUCCCCGACCUGAGAAGCAACACUACCUGAUUUCUGCACAAGAACAUCCAAUCAAUCUGCUUCAUCUAAUGAAAUUAUGAAAAGCUGGGAUCUCAUACACACUUUCGAUAUUGGCAUGUGUGGCUACAUGUGGAUGGGCAUAGCUCCACACACGUGUAGGCUUAGCAAACAUCUGUUUCAGGUUUACUUAAUAUGGUAUUGAUUUGUUUGGUCCUUGUAUAUGAUAUUUGCCUCUACAGCAUGUGUAACUCUUAACUGCAGUAGUGUAAUUUAUGUCAGUAAGGAACUCUUCAAGGAGCCAGUACGUCUGGAUUUGUUUGCAGCCAAUCCAUGCUUUGAAACCCAUAUCAACUGAGAAUAGUAAUUUCACAUCCCAAGCUUAAAUUUGGAUUGCGUUAGUAAUAUUUCUAUAAUUUUACUAGUUCUCAUUUUGUUAUAUAUGACCCAACCAAAUCUAAUUGAAAGUUCCUUGCCAUCCAAUCUUUGGCCAUCUUUUUCCUAGACAAUUGAUAUUUAUAUUCUUUUCUUAUCCGUCUUUUGUAGGACAUUGACAGGCGGGUUAAAAGCUUCAUUUUGUAAGGUUUUUCACACAUCUUCCAUCUAUGGUAGAGCUUAUGAAAGUAAAGUUUGUAUCUCACAACUGUUAGCCCCACUUGUAAAACCUGUGCAUUCUGAAGAUGAUAUCAUAAAGUUCUAUGAAGAAACUGGUUUACCUGUGACAUAAGAUGAAACUAUUGACCAUAUUCAAGGAGAUCCUCUCAAUAAGCUUAUUUUCUGGAAAAGUGUAAUUAUUACCAUAAGCUCAAAUUACUAUGAUCAUUCCCUAAUGAAGAUGAGGGCCAAUCUAUCACAACUUGCAGUAUCGUCCUAUCUGUCCCCUUAAAUGAUAGGCUAUAAACUUAUUUGUAUUUGGAACUAUUCAAUUGAUUGCCCAUGUAAAUAUUAUUUUAAAAUUCAUUCCCAUGGUCGCCAAGAGAAGGGAAAUGACUACAACAUCAAACAAAGAAGCUGAUCAAGUGAUCUUUGAAAUCUAGAUGACUGUGAUGUGUUCAACCAGAGCCAACCAAAAAAGGAGUCAUCUCAGCUCAAGGCAAUUGAUUUUGGGUUGUCUACGUUCUUUAAACCUGGUUAACAAACCAAAUCUUCCACUUGCAUCGCGAUUUUCAGGCUUUUUGGAAACAAUAGCUUGUCUGAUACAUGACUGUCAUCCCCAAAAAGCUUUAAACUUCCUAAUGUGCUUUAGGAAGGGAUGAAUGGGAGUUAGAUGGUUGGAUUAUUUUUAUUUAUUUAUUUAUUUGUCUUGUUUUGUAGGCUUUAGGAAGGGAUGAAUGGGAGUUUUGAUGGCCCACUCUGCAAGCUUUUAAUGAAGGAUCUAAAAUUAAGCUAGGGAAGAAAGAAGAUGAAGAAGCUGAUGAAAUAUAGCAGUAGCUAUGGCAGUUAUUGCUUCUUUUAGGAAAAUGAAAAAGCUUGUCCAAGACAUUUCAUUGGUUGAGGCUGCACUUAGGACCUCGUCUCAACUUGUUGUUAGUUCCAAUGGAAAGAAAGUGAAGCGAUUGCAUGCAUUCCUAGAUAUUGACAUCGAAGAUGCAAAGGUAUUUCGAUGAUGGCUUCUUGAUCAUUUUCACAGCAAUCUGAUACAUGACUGCCAUCCCAAAAAAAGCUAUAAACUUCUUAAUGUGUAUGUUCAUCUGACUCUAUGCUCUGUUUCCCUCUGUCGACAUAAUCUCCUAGGAAUAGGUAGUUGGCAUCUGGUGGAAAACCUCCAUAUUCAAACAGUCGUAGGAGGUCAGAAAAUUGCCCAUGUAUGUCGCCUGCUUACCAGCAGAAGAGGAAGAAGAAAACCCAUUCAUUUGACCAGACAGAGAAUAACAAGUCAAGAGAGCUAAUAUUCCAAACAUUGAAAUGAAAUAGGAAAAAAUCAAAGAGAAAAGAUUAAAAUCAUUCAUGCAAUGGAAGAUGAUGUGAGAUAGGAUGUAAGCUAUUUAACUCAGGGGUUGUUUGGAUGCCUAUAAAUGGUUUAAGUUGUAAAUGAUUGUCUGUGUUUGGAUAGCCUAUAAAUUGUUUAAGUCCUAUAAAUACAGAGCCAAUCUUUUCAAUGGAUAGCCUGUAAAUGAAAUCCAAACUUUUUGCCUAUAAAUGAGACGGGUAAAGUGCUGUUACAGCCUGCAAAUGAUUUACGGGUAAAAAAGGCAUUGGAAGGGACCCCUUAGCCUGUAAAUGACUUACAUGUAAUUUAAAACUUAGCCUAUUUACAGGCUUUCAAAUGACCCCUUAAGACACUGGAUACAUGCGUCGGUGUUGGGCUCA